GAAAAAGUAACUCACUAAAGGAUAUAUAUUAGUAUUCGCGUAUUAACAGCUUUCGGGUCGAUAUCUUCUUCGUGGACAAUUUUGAAUUAGGGUCGCACUAAGGGGUACGGUUAGUGAAGUUGGCCUAGAGUAGCAUAUGCGAACCUCCCACAAUUGCAAUAUUUCGAUUCCUUUAUUUGUGUCGCAUUGAAUUUCAGGGUUGACCCUAUAUUAUUGAAAAGCCUUAUUUCAAUUUGUCGCGGUGCAAGAGCAAAUCCACUUGUGUAUCCGAGUGAUCUAGAUUGACCAACAAGUAAAGCAAAUUAGAAACUAUUUAGGAAGUGGAAUAUUAUAUAUAUGUAUGAGUUAACAACCAAGUAUAAAUCAAGUAUGGUUACUAGCAGCUAAGCCAUUCAAGAGUUUCAAGAUAGAGCAACUGUAAUACCUUAUACUUGGUCUAGACAUAAUGGUCGAAUUCUGAGGUGUCACAAAAGUUUAUCUUGAAAACCAAAGUUUGAUCUUAAUAUAAAUCAAAGUCAAACCUCGUUUCCAUCCCUAUUCAAAAUCUUUAAGAAAACUCCUCGUUUAAACUGUCUCUAUAUUUUGAACAACCACAUAAUCAUACUCUUAAUUUUCUUGCAGUGGAAAUUCUAAAACUAGCAUAGUUUUGAAAACCAUAUUUUGAUUUUGAAAACCCGACUUCUUUUUAGUUUGAAAUAAAGGCGUUCAGAAUAAAACCAAAUCAUAGCUAGCAAAGUAUAAAUCCAAACCAAAAUAGUCUCAAAAAGUCCAAAUUAAACAGUCCUCAAAAAAUAAAUUAUAACUUAAUAGUAUUAAACAAAAUGCAACUAAUAAAUAAGCCUCCACUACGUCGACCUGCCCCAAAAUUAUUGAUUACCUGAAAGAAUACAAAGAAAAAAUAAUGUGAGCUUACAAGCCCAGCGUGCGAAAUAUUUCAUCAAUAUAUCAUAUACAUAAAUAUUACAAGGAACACUUAUCAAAUCAUGCUCAAUUACAUAUUUCAGACAAUGUUCAAUUACAAAUCAAAUGCAUCACCAUUUUAAGAAACAGAUACAAACAGAUGCAAAUAUAGGUCCUACCCCUAUCCGCUACACAUUAUCUCUGCCCAUCCCAACACACCAAUUAAGGUAUUAAAUACUCAUCCAUUCUCACACACCAAGAAGUGAACGUAUGUCACUAGACAAAAUCAGAGCAAUUAAGUUACAAAAUACGAAAUGUGGUAAUCCGCCAGAACCAGAUGUAUGUGGCUGAGCCACCAGACAAGACAAAUAAAUUAAACUGCCCACACUUCCUUCAACAUAUCAUAUCCCAACCCAAAUGCAUGCAAUCAUAAUAGUAUAUAUACAAAAUAAGAAUGUAAUCAUUUUAAUAGAUACACAUAAUACAAAUGUAAUCAUAUUAACAUAUUAAUAGAUACACAUAAUACAAAUGUAAUCAUAUUAACAUAUAUACAAAAUAUGGAUGUAAUUAUACAUACUUCCAAAAUAGUCAUGCUUCCAAAAUUAUUAAACAAAUAUCAUAUAUAUAUAUAUGUAAUGCAUAUUCUGAACAUAAUAGCAUUUAAUCACAUUUCGAGCCUUAAUUAAACAAUAUAGACUUUACAGAGGGUCUAAUUAUGGAUUAUAAAUUUAUACGACUCUAAGCGGUAAAUUUUCAUAAAUUGGGCCCACACACCCAUGUGACCCAUACGACUCAAAUUGACUAAGCCCGUGUGGCCCACACAGCCUAUCACACAGUCUACACAUGCCCGUGACUCACGCCACAACCUGACACACGACUGUGUGAAUCACAUGACCUACUUGUCUUGCUCGUGUAAUCGCACACACCCUUGCGCACCCACACAGCCCACACGGUGGUGUGACGAACAACAAUAUUAUUUUUCCUUUACAUUUUUUUCUAGAUUUUUCAUAUUCUUUCAUGAUGGUUUCGAGUUAGAAACACACACAUCUAAAUUGCUUUUUAUGUAGAUUCAAGAACAAAAACACCACAACCUAUAAACCACAACUCACAAAUUAAACACAUGAUUUUUACCACACUCGAGUGAGUAAUUUGAUAAAAACUUCAUCAAUUAAACCCAAUUACAGAAACGGAUCAGCCCCUACAACGACGAGAACACUUACUGUAGAACGAGACAGCAACUUAACCUCGCCUAAGUCGCUGGAGGAUCACCAAGCACCCCUCGAUCUUCUCAUAGAAGUGCAUCGAUAUAAUUAAAAUCAGAACUUAAUAGAAAAUUCACUUCUUUCAAAUGAUAACCCAACAACCAAAAUUACCAUAACAACUAUAGAAAUAUCAUUCUCUUACCCGACCGAAAUUGAAAUACCCAAGAGGGUUUCAAGUAAAUGAUUAACAACACACUCGUCCAAGUUUGAGCAACAAAAGAAGAAAAUACACAAGCUACGAACAGGAAACAGAUUGGCGAAGAAAGAAUAGCAACAAAAGUGAAAGUUCAACAGGAAACAAACAAAACAAAGCAAAAAAAGAAAUUUUGAAAAACAAAGAAAGAAAAGAAAAAGCACACGAACCAAGAAGGGGGAGUGAGAGACGUGAGAGAAGAAUUAGGAGCAACUUUGGGAAAAGAAAAGAAAAGAAAAUAAGAUAAAAUAAAAAUAAAAACAAUACAAACAAAAUCACAACUAACAACUCCCUCAACAACCUAAUCCUCAUCUAAUAGAUUUUUUUGCUGAAGCCUUAUCAUUCAAUCAAAUCAAUUCUCUUAUAAAAUAUCUAACAAAUAAAAAACUUAAAAUUUUGGGCAUUAC
rnacentral:lncRNA from 1 species